rnacentral:pre_miRNA from 1 species
UAUAUACUCCCUCCGUCCCAAAAUUCUUGUCUUAAAUUUUUCUAAAUACGGAUGUAUCUAGUUACAUUUUAGUGUUAGAUACAUCCAUAUCUAGACAAAUUUAAGAUAAGAAUUUUGGGACGGAGGGAGUAUAAA